AUUGAACGCUGGCGGCGUGCCUAACACAUGCAAGUCGAGCGGUAACAGGUGUAGCAAUACAUGCUGACGAGCGGCGAACGGGUGAGUAAUGCUUCGGAAUCUUCCCAUGUAGUGGGGAAUAACUAGCCGAAAGGUUAGCUAAUACCGCAUACGUCCCCUCUUCUAACGAUGGGGGGANAAAGCAGGGGAUCGCAAGACCUUGCGCUAUUGGAUGAGCCGAAGCGGAUUAGCUAGUUGGUAGGUAACGGCCUACCAAGGCGACAAUCCGUAGCUGGUCUGAGAGGACGACCAGCCACACUGGGACU
rnacentral:rRNA from 1 species